rnacentral:rRNA from 1 species
GAUGAACGCUGGCGGCGUGCCUAAUACAUGCAAGUCGAGCGAACAGACGAGGAGCUUGCUCCUCUGACGUUAGCGGCGGACGGGUGAGUAACACGUGGAUAACCUACCUAUAAGACUGGGAUAACUUCGGGAAACCGGAGCUAAUACCGGAUAAUAUAUUGAACCGCAUGGUUCAAUAGUGAAAGACGGUUUUGCUGUCACUUAUAGAUGGAUCCGCGCCGCAUUAGCUAGUUGGUAAGGUAACGGCUUACCAAGGCAACGAUGCGUAGCCGACCUGAGAGGGGGGUAGGCCACACGGGAACUGAGACACGGUCCAGACUCCUACGGGAGGCAGCAGUAGGGAAUCGUCCGCAAUGGGCGAGAGCCUGACGGAGCAACGCCGCGUGAGUGAUGAAGGUCUUCGGAUCGUAAAACUCUGUUAUUAGGGAAGAACAAAUGUGUAAGUAACUAUGCACGUCUUGACGGUACCUAAUCAGAAAGCCACGGCUAACUACGUG